rnacentral:rRNA from 1 species
ACAAGCGGUGGAGCAUGUGGUUUAAUUCGAAGCAACGCGAAGAACCUUACCAGGCCUUGACAUACUAAAAAGCUUUAAGAGAUUAGAGUGUGCUAGCUUGCUAGAAUUUAGAUACAGGUGCUGCACGGCUGUCGUCAGCUCGUGUCGUGAGAUGUUGGGUUAAGUCCCGCAACGAGCGCAACCUCGUGUUUAGUUGCUAACAGUUCGGCUGAGAACUCUAAACAGACUGCCUACGCAAGUAGGAGGAAGGUGAGGACGACGUCAAGUCAUCAUGGCCCUUACGGCCAGGGCUACACACGUGCUACAAUGGGGUAUACAAAGAGCAGCGAUACGGUGACGUGGAGCAAAUCUAGAAAAUGCCUCUCAGUUCGGAUUGUAGUCUGCAACUCGACUACAUGAAGUUGGAAUCGCUAGUAAUCGUAGAUCAGCAAUGCUACGGUGAAUACGUUCCCGGGUCUU